rnacentral:rRNA from 1 species
AACGCGAAGAACCUUACCAGCUUUUGACAUGGGAAGUUUGAGGAGUAGAGAUAUUCUUCUUCAGUUCGGCUGGCUUCUACACAGGUGCUGCAUGGCUGUCGUCAGCUCGUGUCGUGAGAUGUUGGGUUAAGUCCCGCAACGAGCGCAACCCUUAUUGCUAGUUGCCAUCAGGUUUGGCUGGGCACUUUAGCGAAACUGCCGGUGAUAAGCCGGAGGAAGGUAGGGAUGACGUCAAGUCCUCAUGGCCCUUAUAGGCUGGGCUACACACGUACUACAAUGGCGGUGACAGAAGGCAGCGACGGAGAAAUCCUGAGCGAAUCCCUAAAAGCCGCCUCAGUUCGGAUUGUCCUCUGCAACUCGAGGGCAUGAAGUCGGAAUCGCUAGUAAUCGUAGAUCAGCAUGCUACGGUGAAUACGUUCCCGGGCCUUGUACACACCGGUAUCUC